rnacentral:rRNA from 1 species
GAUGAACGCUGGCGGCGUGCCUAAUACAUGCAAGUCGAGCGAACGGACGAGAAGCUUGCUUCUCUGAUGUUAGCGGCGGACGGGUGAGUAACACGUGGAUAACCUACCUAUAAGACUGGGAUAACUUCGGGAAACCGGAGCUAAUACCGGAUAAUAUUUUGAACCGCAUGGUUCAAAAGUGAAAGACGGUCUUGCUGUCACUUAUAGUUGGAUCCGCGCUGCAUUAGCUAGUUGGUAAGGUAACGGCUUACCAAGGCAACGAUGCAUAGCCGACCUGAGAGGGUGAUCGGCCACACUGGAACUGAGACACGGUCCAGACUCCUACGGGAGGCAGCAGUAGGGAAUCUUCCGCAAUGGGCGAAAGCCUGACGGAGCAACGCCGCGUGAGUGAUGAAGGUCUUCGGAUCGUAAAACUCUGUUAUUAGGGAAGAACAUAUGUGUAAGUAACUGUGCACAUCUUGACGGUACCUAAUCAGAAAGCCACGGCUAACUACGUGCCAGCAGCCGCGGUAAUACGUAGGUGGCAAGCGUUAUCCGGAAUUAUUGGGCGUAAAGCGCGCGUAGGCGGUUUUUUAGUCUGAUGUGAAAGCCCACGGCUCAACCGUGGAGGGUCAUUGGAAACUGGAAAACUUGAGUGCAGAAGAGGAAAGUGGAAUUCCAUGUGUAGCGGUGAAAUGCGCAGAGAUAUGGAGGAACACCAGUGGCGAAGGCGACUUUCUGGUCUGUAACUGACGCUGAUGUGCGAAAGCGUGGGGAUCAAACAGGAUUAGAUACCCUGGUAGUCCACGCCGUAAACGAUGAGUGCUAAGUGUUAGGGGGUUUCCGCCCCUUAGUGCUGCAGCUAACGCAUUAAGCACUCCGCCUGGGGAGUACGACCGCAAGGUUGAAACUCAAAGGAAUUGACGGGGACCCGCACAAGCGGUGGAGCAUGUGGUUUAAUUCGAAGCAACGCGAAGAACCUUACCAAAUCUUGACAUCCUUUGACAACUCUAGAGAUAGAGCCUUCCCCUUCGGGGGACAAAGUGACAGGUGGUGCAUGGUUGUCGUCAGCUCGUGUCGUGAGAUGUUGGGUUAAGUCCCGCAACGAGCGCAACCCUUAAGCUUAGUUGCCAUCAUUAAGUUGGGCACUCUAAGUUGACUGCCGGUGACAAACCGGAGGAAGGUGGGGAUGACGUCAAAUCAUCAUGCCCCUUAUGAUUUGGGCUACACACGUGCUACAAUGGACAAUACAAAGGGCAGCGAAACCGCGAGGUCAGGCAAAUCCCAUAAAGUUGUUCUCAGUUCGGAUUGUAGUCUGCAACUCGACUACAUGAAGCUGGAAUCGCUAGUAAUCGUAGAUCAGCAUGCUACGGUGAAUACGUUCCCGGGUCU